UACGAAGGGGGCUAGCGUUGUUCGGAAUUACUGGGCGUAAAGCGCGCGCAGGCGGUCUUCCAAGUCAGUGGUGAAAGCCCGGAGCUCAACUCCGGAAUUGCCAUUGAAACUGUUGGACUUGAGUACGAGAGAGGUGAGUGGAAUUCCCAGUGUAGAGGUGAAAUUCGUAGAUAUUGGGAAGAACACCGGUGGCGAAGGCGGCUCACUGGCUCGUAACUGACGCUCAAGCGACGACAGCGUGGGGAUCAAACAGG
rnacentral:rRNA from 1 species